CAGUUUCGACUUGAGCAGGAUUAAUAAAGUGAACGUGCGUAUCAAUCCCUCCAGCCGUCACAAUCAUUCCUUCUCCGCCAAUGAUUUCGGUAGCUGUCCCUAUAACAAUGUCCACAUUAUCCAUGAUAAGCGGAUUCCCGGCUUUGCCGAUCGCAAAUAUCUUCCCGUCACGAAUAGCGAUAUCCGCUUUAACAAUCCCUGUAUAAUCAAGGAUCACCGCGUUUGUAAUAACUGUAUCGGGUACAUCCUCCCCGCGUGUAACAAGCGGAUUUUGCCCCAUCCCGUCCCGG
rfam:Bacillus sp. B-jedd genome assembly, contig: CONTIG000001